rnacentral:rRNA from 1 species
UACGUAGGGUGCAGGCGUUAAUCGGAAUUACUGGGCGUAGAGCGUGCGCAGGCGGUUUCUUAAGUCAGAUGUGAAAGCCCCGGGCUUAACCUGGGAACUGCGUUUGAAACUGGGAGACUUGAGUGUGGCAGAGGGGGGUGGAAUUCCACGUGUAGCAGUGAAAUGCGUAGAUAUGUGGAGGAACACCAAUGGCGAAGGCAGCCCCCUGGGUCAACACUGACGCUCAUGCACGAAAGCGUGGGGAGCAAACAGG